UGAUAAUCUGUCAGGAGAAAGUUAGGGAACGAGGAGGAGGAGGAAAGUGUUGUUUUAUGUUUUGCUCUGAAGAAAUGAGGAGUCACCUGAACUCCUAGUAUUUAAAACAUCCAUUCAAAUGGCAAGAGGCUGGCUCUCCAUGCAGUGAACAAUCCUGUCCAGAUGCCAGGAGUGAAAUGAAGGUGACAGAGAGCCCGGAGACAUCGG